rnacentral:lncRNA from 1 species
AGAAGUUGAGUGCCCAAAUCACGAGCCAGCUUCGUUUGUGAAAGGCAAGCCCCAGAGCAUUCAAAGCCUCCCUUUACUUUCGAAAGUUUAUUUAAUAUGUUAUAUCUAUUGAUGCAUUAAGUAUAGGAGUUGUGAUGAAAACCUUUGCUGCACUUUAUUCCAUCCUUGUCCAGAUAAUUUACCUUACCUUGGUUGUAGAGUUAGGAUCGGGUAGCAGCUUAGCCAUGCUUAAUCGGUAGAAGUCGGGUGAUUUCCUGUCACCUGCGCGAUAUAGGGUUGUGUCGGAUCACGAUGGUCUAUAUGUGCUAUCGUGGAUGGAACCUAAUUAAAUUGACUUAAGCUGGGCGGAGUUUUGCAAGGUUGUAGUAACUCCGUCUGUGGUAGCUAAGGACCGACCGUUGUACAUCCUCUUGUCAUGUUGAACGCAUGCCUAACACUUAGUUGGCCGGAUAACUCAUUCCGACCGCGAAGCCGAGUAGUAUGACUCAGGCCGGAAGACCGGCAAGUAUAAAGUGCGCACUACCAGAGGAAGUGCGGUGUGCGGGGGACCAUUGGCGUAAGCCCAAAGGUAGGUGAGUUAAAAUUCCUGACCUCCCUGGCAGAGUGGUAGCCCUGGGAGUGUGGCGCUGAUCGGAGCCGUGAUUCCUGAGUCGUACCAAAGGUGACCUGUUGGCUCUCCGACGGGGGAUGCUUGGGUGAGUGCUAGGAAUACACCUCCAGCUGGAUAGGAAUUCGAUUCGAAUCGCCGUCUCUCCCAGUUAGUGAGAACUUGACAGAGCAGCGGCAAACGUAGCAUUCACUAAUAAACUUGGUUCAUGAUAAUGAUGAUAGCAAAGAAGAACAUAUGAUGAACUUGAUAUGGUUAUUAUUGUUUGUAAAUAAUCAAGUGAUGUCUUGUAGUACAGGUGCUAAUCUAGUGGUAGGCUGAUGAUGAAUAAAUAUGAUGCUCUCAAAAUAAUUUAGUUUUAAUGUAAGCUUUUGGCAAACGAUGGGUCAACAAGCUCCACUUGAUAUUAGCCUUGCAUGAUCCUUGGUGUCUUUUAUGUUUUACUAGACGGGUAAGUCUAGCUGAGUACAUUCUCGUACUCAGGGUUUAUUCCCACCUGUUGCAGAUGACAUCUUUUAUGACGGCUUCUGCAAGACCUGUCUCCAUCCCGCUGGGGAUGAGGACUAACCGUUGGGCACGGUUCUCUAACAAUCUCGUACCUGUUGCUUUUGGAAGGAUGAUGUAGACUCUGGCAGUAACUCGAACUUAUGAACUGGACUCUAAACAAGUGUGUGUAAUUAUUUUGCUUCCGCUACUUCGAACUUGGGUUGUAAUAACUUAAUGACUCCGAUGUGGUGCCGCUUCGACGGCAAUGAAUAACUAUGUAACAUUCGUUGUAUUUAUGUUGAACUAUUACGAUCUUGGUUUGUUGCGAGUUGGUUUGAAAUCCUUCGUGAUUUCAGUUGACUACCGGGAUUAUAUGGGCUCAAGUUUGGAAACUUGAUUGUUUGCCGAUCGUUUCUACACUUGAACUCUUAUAAUUUGGUCGGUUCUGUGACAGAUAAGAUAGCUGAAGUAAUGAGAGACCAAUUUGGGAUAAAACCCAAAGUCAACACUUACUCUUAUCGGACACCAUAUCCUCCUGCAUAUGAUUUAAUUCCACUUCCAAAUCGGUACAAGGUGCCAGAUUUCACUAAAUUUUCUGGACAGGAUGAUACGUCAACCAUGGAACAUGUCAAUAGGUUCAUCAUCCAAUGUGGGGAAGCUAAUAACAGGGAUGAAUUGAGGGUUCGUUUGUUUUCAUCAUCUUUAUCCGGAUCGGCUUUCACCUAGUUUAUAUCGUUGCCUCCUAAUUCAGUGAUUACUUGGGCCAAUCUGGAGAAGCAGUUCCACAAGUACUUCUUUUUUAGGGUCCAUGAGAAGAAGAUUACCGAUUUGGUCAAAUUGAAGCAACGCAAUGAUGAAUCGGUUGAAAGUUUUGUACAGAGACUGCGGGAGGUCAAGAACAAAUGUUAUAGUCUGGUUUUGGACGAUCGGCAGCUGGCCGAUUUGGCUUUCCAUGGUUUGUUGCCGCAUGUCAGGGACAAGUAUACCUCUCAAGAGUUCGAAAGCUUAAGUCAUUUGGUGCAGAGAAUUUCUGAUCAGGAUAUCAGACCUUUUGAACCCAAGAGAGCAUGGAACAAAAAGGUGUCAUUUGUUGAUGAAGCAACAAGCUCGGAUUCUGAUGAGGAGCCAGUCAUCGACUUGGCAGAAUGGGUAAAGAAUAAGAAGCCGAUGUCUUGCCCUUUUGGGCAUAAAGAGCCAGAGAGGUUCGCAUUUUAUAUCACUAAAGCCGAUAGGAUAUUUGACUUUCUACUUCAGGAAGGGCAAAUCAAGUUGUCACCCAAUCAUGUGAUCCUAUCGGCUGAAGAGUUGAAGAAGAUGAAAUAUUGCAAGUGACACAAUGCAACUUCUCACAGCACCAAUGAGUGCAAAGUUUUUAGACAACAGCUGCAAUUGGCUAUAGAAUCUGGGAGAAUCAAAUUUGAUAGUUCUAAAGCCCAGAAGCCGAUAAAGAUCGAUCAACAUCCUUUCCCAACAAAUAUGUUGGAUGCUAAGGGAAAAACCAAGGUUUUGACAUUGGAAGCAGCUGAGAGGAGUGCAUCGGUAGAUCCCCAGCAUCAAAUUACUGCUGCCGAUGCCAAAGGAAAAGGUUUAAUCCAAGAGGGAACUAACUCAGGAAGGCCUCCCCGAUCUAGUAUUGUGAUAACUCAUAGAAGGCCUCGGGAGACAUGGCAACAACGCGAGGAUCAGUAUCUGCGCCAGCAAGAGGAUUAUCGUGGGGAAGAAGAAAGACGCCGUCAAGAGUGGAAUCGGCACAAGGAUCACUGGAACUGCCUGUUCUUUAUCCAUUGCUGGGAGCAGAACAUCAAGUUACCUACUGUUAGAGAUUGCCCUGAAUGCAAUGGUUAUGAUCGGUAUGACAGAUCCGAUCGGCGCUAUCACGAUGAUGAUCGGCGAUUUAAUGGGCCGAUUAGGGGAAGAGCGUCCGUUCAUGAUCGGCUGGGGGGCAGACUCAGUGUGCACGACAGGCUUGGUGAUCGUGUUGAAUAUUUUCCCAGGAAUCAGGAAGAGCUUGAGGAGAUGGCUAAUGCAUGAGUUCCCAAUGAGUUCAUAUUUUGCAGGGACGUUAACACUUAUCGGAUGGAGUCAAGGGAACAUCGUCGCACAUCGGCAAGGCAGUCACCACUUCCCCCAUGGUGUCCAGAGGGGUUGACUAAGACACAGAAAAGAAGACUGCAGUGCGAAAGAUGAGAAGAGAUAAGCAAGGGCGAGAACUCUGGCCAAUCUGGGGAUCAGCAACAAUCAGAUCCUAAGGGGAAAGGGCCAUCGACAGAUGUUAACAUGGUAUUUAUGUUGCCGAUGGAAUUCCUUGCGCCAUCCAGCGAUGAUGAGGAGUUCGAGUUUUCCGACCGGAUAGCUCAGUUGGCUCUGGAUCCGAUGACAGCUAUCUUUGAAAAGCCUGCCGAUAAUGAAAGGCAGCAUCUUAAAGCCCUGUUCGUCAAAGGGAGAGUUGAUGGUCAGCCGAUGACCAAGAUAUUGAUUGAUGGUGGAGUUGCUAUCAACAUCGUGCCAUAUGCAGUCUAUCGGAAGCUUGGAAAAGGAGAUCAAGAUUUAACCAAGACCGAUAUGAUGCUAAAAGACUUUGAGGGAAACGUGUCUCCCGUUAAGGGGGCAAUAUGCGUUGAGUUGACCAUCGGCAGCAAAACCUUGCCAACAACUUUCUUCGUGAUCAGCGGAAAAGGUGCUUAUAAUUUGCUGCUAGGGAGAGAUUGGAUUCAUGCCAAUUGUUGUAUCCCGUCUACAAUGCACUAGUGCUUGGUCCAGUGGGUAGGUGACAAGAUUGAGAUUGUCCCGGGAGAUUCUUCCCAUGUUAUUGCAUCGGCAGAGGCGGACACUUAUGAAAGGACUAGGUGCAUCUCGGGAGAGAUUUGGGAGAAAGAUUUCCUCAAAGUUGCCGAUUAUGAAAUUCCACCGAUCCAAGCAGUCGGUUCUGAUGAGGAGUGUUAAUGGAUAGGUUCGCCGAUAAUGGAAAAUUAGGCCAGGGAUUCACAGCGGCCGAUGAUUUGGUAGAAGUAGAUAUAGGUAGUGGUGAUAAACCUAGACCUACUUUUAUUUGUGCUAAGUUAAAUUCUGAGUGUAAGCAGCAGUUAACCGAUUUGUUAAAGGAAUAUAAAGAUUGCUUUGCUUGGGAUUAUACUGAGAUGCCUGGUUUAGAUCGAUCAAUUGUUGAACAUCGGUUACCCAUCAAGUCUGGAUUUCGGCCACAUCAGCAGCCAGCUCGCCGAUGUAAUCCUAAUAUCCUUCCUGAUAUCAAGGCUGAAAUAACCAAACUUAUCGAAGCUAAAUUUAUUCGGCAGUGUUGGUAUACCGAGUGGAUUUCCAAUGUUGUUCCAGUUUACAAGAAAAAUGGGAAGCUUCGGGUUUGCAUUGAUUUCAGGAAUCUUAAUAAAGCUACACUGAUGGAUGGCUACCCAAUGCCAGUUGCCGAUCUGCUAGUUGAUGCUGCGGCUGGGCAUCGGAUUAUCAGCUUUAUGGAUGGCAAUGCAGGAUACAAUCAAAUAUUCAUGGCUGAAGAAGAUAUUCCGAAGACUGCAUUUAGAUGUCCUGGUCAUGUUGGGUUGUUUGAAUGGAUAGUCAUGACCUUUGGCUUGAAAAAUGCUGUCACUACUUAUCAGAGGGCUAUGAAUUUUAUAUUUCAUGAGUUCAUCGGCAAGCUGGUGGAAAUUUAUAUUGAUGAUGUGGUGGUUAAGUCUGGGGAUUUCAUAAAACAUCUUGCCGAUUUGCGAAAAGUGUUGGAAUGCACAAGGAAGCAUGGUUUAAAGAUGAACCCUAAUAAGUGUGCAUUUGGUGUAUCGGCAGGGCAGUUUCUUGGUUUCAUGGUGCAUCAAAGGGGGAUUGAAAUUAGUAGGAGAUCCAUUGAUGCUAUCAACAAAAUAGUUGCUCCUACCAACAAAACUGAGCUCCAGUCCUUGAUCGGCAAGGUAAAUUUUAUCAGGAGAUUUAUAUCUAACUUGUCUGGUAAAAUCCAUGCUUUUAGUCCUUUACUCAAAUUAAAAGCCGAUCAAGAAUUUGUAUGGGGAAAAGAGCAACAGUUGGCUCUAGAUGAAAUCAAGAAUUAUUUGGUAAAUCCUCCGGUUCUGAUUCCACCACAACAAGGAAAGCCCUUCAGGUUAUAUUUGUCCACCAAUGGGAUGGUCAUCGGUUCGGCUCUAAUUCAAGAAUUUGAAGGGAAGGAACGUGUGAUUUACUAUUUAAGCAGGAGAUUGGUUGAUGCUGAAACCAGGUAUUCGGCCAUCGAAAAGUUGUGUUUAUGCCUAUAUUUCUCAUGUACUAAAUUGAGGCACUAUCUACUAUCGGCCGAAUGCACUGUUAUAUGCAAAGAUGAUGUGGUCAGGUAUAUGCUAUCCAUGCUGAUCAUGAGUGGCAGAAUCGGCAAAUGGAUUUUGGCACUGUCGAAAUUCGAUCUGCGUUACGAAUCGGCUAAAGCGGUUAAGGGACAGAUUAUGGCCAAUUUCGUAACUCAACAUUACGAUACAGUGGAGACUCUGGAAAUUGUGCCAUGGACGCUCUUCUUUGAUGGAUCCACGUGUGACCGGGGGGCAGGGAUCGGCAUAGUGUUAAUUUCCCCUCGGGGGAGGAAGUAUGAGUUCUCCUUGCCCAUUAUUGCCACGUCAACAAACAAUCAAGCUGAGUAUCAAGCUUUGAUAAAGGGGUUGGAAUUACUAAGGGAAGUUCAUGCUGAUGCUGUUGAAAUCUUCGGGGAUUCUAUGCUGGUUAUAAAUCAAUUGGCUGGAAGCUAUGAAUGCCGAAGCGAAGUCCUGAUAACUUAUCACGAAAGGAGUAUACAAUUAUUAAAGGAAUUCAAAGAUUUCCGGUUAGAGCAUGUUCCUCAGUUGCAUAAUGAAGAGGCCAAUCGGUUGGCUCAGCAUGCCUCGGGAUAUCAGCCCAUGUUAAACGCAAUAUCGGCAAUCAGUGCCGAUGAUUGGAGAAAAGAAAUCAUUGAUUAUUUAAAGGAUCCAUCCAAAAAAGUUGAGAGACGUGUUCGGUUUCAAGCCACCAAGUAUGUGCUCCUUGAAGAUGAAUUAUAUUAUCGAACCAUUGAUGGGAUUCUUCUCAGGUGUUUAGGUGAUGAUGAGGCUAAAGGUUUAAUGGGAGAAAUCCAUGAAGGAUUAUGUGGAGCACAUCAGUCGGCUUUUAAGAUGAAGUGGAUGAUUAGGAGGAAUGGAUAUUAUUGGCCAACCAUACUCGAAGAUUGCUUUAAAUAUUUCAAGGGGUGUCAAGGAUGUCAGAAGUUUGGCAAUGUUCAAAGAGCACCCGCAUCGGCCAUGAAUCCUAUCAUCAAACCUUGGCCGUUCCGAGGGUGGGCUAUUGACUUGAUUGGCCAGAUUUAUCCGCCAUCCAGCAAAGGAUAUAAGUUUAUCUUGGUUGCCACUGAUUAUUUCACUAAGUGGGUUGAAGCUAUUCCUUUGAAGAAAGUUACAUCGGCCAAUAUGAUUGAUUUUGUGAAGGAGCAUAUUAUUUACCGAUUGGGAAUUCCUCAAACAAUUACUAACGAUCAAGGUACUAUGUUUACAUCAGGGGAGUUUGAUGAGUUUGCAAUCGGUAUGGGAAUUAAAGUAUUAAAUUCUUCUCCUUAUUAUGCUCAAGCUAAUGGGCAGGCCGAAGCAUCCAACAAAGGAAUUAUCAAGCUUAUUAAACGAAAGAUUUAAGAAAAUCCUAGGAGGUGGCAUACAUUGUUGAAUGAAGCUUUAUAGUCAUAUUGGAUGGCUUGUCAUGGGUCGACCAAAGUUUCACCUUAUCAGUUGGUGUAUGGACAUGAUGCAGUGUUGCCUUGGGAAAUUAAGACUGGGUCUAGGCGACUGUCUUUUCAAGAUCAAUUGACUGCUGAUGAUUAUACUACUUUGAUGACAGACGAGUUGGAUGAUCUAGCAGGGCAUCGGCUAAAGGCUUUGAUAAGUAUAGAAGAAAAUAAGAAGAGAGUUGCCAGGUGGUAUGAUAAGAGGGUAAAGGCUAAGGAGUUUGCCGAUGGAGACUUAGUGUGGAAACUAAUCUUACCGAUCGAGACUAAAAGUUCAAAGUUUGGGAAGUGGUCUCCCAAUUGGGAGGGUCCCUAUCGGAUAAAUCGAUCUGCUCCUGGCAACGCCUAUAUCUUAGAAACACUCAAAGGGGUUGAAUUUCCCAGGGCAUUGAACGACAAAUAUUUAAAGAGAUAUCACCCAAGCAUAUGGCUUGAUGCAUGAAAGUUUAAGUGCCGAUAACAUUCCUAUUGGCUGGAUUAAACUGUGUCUGGAGCCGGACUUAGUGUUUUAAAAAAGGUGCCGAUAACAGUCCUAUCGACUAGACCAAAAUAAUUAAGAGAAAAGAGCAAAGUAUGCUGCCGAUGAGGAAUUCAUAUGUUUAAUAAAGCCUGGAUCAUCGAUAUGGCACGCAGACGGAUUUGGUUGGCUUCUUCUAUCUCCUUCAUGUCAUCAUCGGCAGAGCCCUCUACUGGCUUCAGUUUCUUCUUCAGCUGCAGUGCUUUACGGCCUUGGACAUUUCGCUCUUGUUCAAGAAGCUUGAUCGUCUCAGGCAGCUGGCUUUCUUCUUGUUGAGCUUGGGACAAAGCUUCCUCUACCUGUUUGAGUUCUGCCAACAGGGCUUCUCUCUUUGCCGAUAGAUCAGAGAUCUUGUGCUUCAGUGCAUCUCCUGAGGAUUUCAAGAUGCCGAUGCUCUUGUGCUUUUCAUCGGCAAGGAGCUUCACCUUCAUCAUCUCCUCUGAGAGCCGAGCGUGAGCAGCUCUAUCGGCAAGACGCUGAGCAGCCUUUUGAUACUGCAGCUAGCGACUUUCUAAGUGAGCAGCCUUAAAGAGGAUCUCCUCGGCAUCGGCAGGAAUUUUGCCUCUGAGGGUUUUGAACAAGGCCUUGGCCGAAUCAGAAUUGUCGACCAAUUGGGCCGUGUCUUGGUGAAGGAGGGCCGAUAAUUCUUCUAGUUUUGCUCUGAUUUCUGUCGAUGAGAUCCUAAUAGCUCAAGAAGAACUUGCCUCCUCACCUUCAUCCUCAGAGAUGUCGAUGGCAAAUGAGAACAAGCUGUCAGGAGAGUCCUGUUUCUGAAAAGGAAAACAAAAUAAGUUAUUCUAUGAUCAAGCAUUGAUAAACAAUACAAAAUAAGGAACGGGUAACUUACUUGCUUCAUAGCUAUCUCUCGCCUCUGACUAGAUGAUGCCGAUGGAACCACUGGCUGAUCGGUUGGAAUUGCCGAUGAAACUAUGUCAGCUAAAAGAUUGACAAAAGUGAUUAACAGAAUGGAAAGAUAGGUUCAUCGGCAAUAAAUGGAAAAUAUAUUACCUUGAGGAGGUGCAGAACUAGUCUAGAUCGAGGAGACCACCGAUGCUGCGAUUGAGCUUGUUGGAUCGGCAGUCUGCUCGUGUACGUCAGCCAAUGUUUCUUCUGGCUGAGGUUCCUCUGGCUGAGGUUCUUCUGUUUGAUUUUCUUCCUGUGGUUGAGGAGGAGAUGGUGCUUGUUGUAUCUGGACUUCUGGGGAAGAGGGAGAAGAUUCCACCGGGAUCGGUGACCUCGGAGGGGGAGGAAGGUGUUGCUGUUCUCUGGCGCUUCGCUUGGGUUCUGGUACUCUUGGAGCCUUUUCUCUUUGAUUUGCUGGACUGGGGGGCAUCGGUAGUCGUACUUCUGGUCUUUGCCGAUGUGCCAGUUUGCUGAUACAACAAUAAGAAGCUUUGUGAGUACAAGUACAACAGGGUAUAAGAAUGGAAUCGGUAUAAGUGAAGAAUUAAAAAUUUUACCUUGAAGGCUUGUGCUAAGGCAGUGGUGGCUACCGAUGGGGAUGUCUUCGUUCGCCUAGUGGUGACUUUCUUGAGACGCACACCUCGAUGCAUUAUAGCAGCCAAGGUUGGAGCGUUGUUGCCGAUCGAGGAGGACGGGCCCGAUGGAAAGAGCUCAAUCGGCUUGCCACUCCUGCUGACCGAUGGUGGUGUGUCGUCAACCUGUAUGUGACAAAGAAAGGAGAUUACCGAUUGAAAAAAAAACAGUGAAGAAAUUGAAACAUCGGUAUUGAGAUACUUACGGUAUUGUCAGGGACUUUGUACUGAGGAUCGAUCAUGACGCGGUAUGUGAGAGCCGAUCCGUAGAACAGAUGUUCUUUCCAUUCUUCCCACCACUGUUUGUAUGCCUGAGUGAUGAAGAGGGCUGGAAUCCAAUCUGAGAGAUCAGCAUCUAUAUCGGCGGUUGAUGGCAGUUGAGCUACUCUGAUCCACUCGAGAAGAUUAGUGAUGGUUUCCCUUGGUUUUAUCACAUCGGCAUAACAAAGUGCAAUUGGCAGUUGACCGAAAGCUAACUGACAAGCUAGUGCCGAUGGGUUGUAGAAUUCAUAGGUCUGGAUAGAAGCUUUUCCACCACCAAAGAAGUUCACUGGUAUGGCUCUUGGGGUGAUGAUUGCCAUCAUCACGUCGUGAUCCUUGUUGAGGGAAUCAUUGAAGGGAUGGAAGACCAAAGGAAAUCUGGUGUCUGGAUCUUCGUAAGGCAUCCAUGCUCGUUGUUCUCUAGUCAGGCCCUCAUACAGAGUUUGAAAGAAUCGGCUAAACUGGUCUGCGUUACCACCUAUGCCGGGCAAAACUAUAACGGCUUCGCCAAAGUUCAGAGGGGAAUGAGUUGCCGAUUCCUCUUCAUCCAGUUCAUAGUCCUCUGCUAUAUCCCUGGGGAAGCACUGUGCAAAGAGAUCAAACUCAAGGCGCUUGUGCAUGUGGAGACUAAGCCACAUAUUGAUGAACCACCAACCCCCUAAGUUGCCGAUGGGUUGACCAAGCAGUAAUUUCUUGGCUACCUGAUGGAGGAGGUGAUAAGCAGAGCCGAGCAGGUAUCGGCCGAGGGGAAAUCGGCCACGUGUAGCUAAUCUUUCUGCUGUCGAUAGAUAGACAGAAGUUGGUCCUGCCAAUCAACCAAAGAAUACAAACUUAUCUAGCCACAUAUUCAGGAAAGUAGUCUGCUCCUUUAUAUUGACAGGUCCUGUUCUUCAGUACUUCUGAAUAUACCUGACCAACCGUCGAUAGAACGAGUUUCCACUUUAGCGCUGGGUUUGGUGUCAAACAGGUGGGUGCUAUCGGCAGAGGAUAUAUCUAAGCCAGUGAGCAUAAGCACAUCAGCAAGAGUGGGAGAAGCAGGGCCAUGGCCAAACACAAAAGCAUUAAGUGUGUCUGACCAAAAGUAUGAGGCAGCUAUCAGUAGCGAUUCAUUUCGGCAAGAGACAGUCUAAUGCACUGAUCUAAUUUCCGUUCACCCCAUUGGACUUCAUUUGAAUUACUGACUCUCAGAAACCAAUCCUUCCAUCCUUUGGUAGGUCUGGGCCAGGAACGGAAAGCAUCCUUCCAUAGAUCUAGAGAAAAAUUCUCGGCUCUAAAAGGGAUUUUGUUUGUCUCCGCGUUUAUAAGAUCGGUGGGAUCCAGGUUUCCUAAUGGACCAAGGCAUUGAAGAUGGGGUUGAUCGGUAGGAAUAACAAUUUUAUUGGCCAGAUCCUAGAAAUAUUUGGGAGCGAAAAGAAGAACAGAGAGAAAAAAGGAUUCAGUAAGACAGAUUGAUGAACAGGGGUACAAUAAAAGUAUAGGAAAAAGGACAGUGCGCUGACCUCAGGGACAAUGAAGUUGAUGGCCAUCUCCUCGAAGGGGAAAAGAACAAAGACUUGGGAGUUGUUGAAGGAGGUUCUUGUUGGAGUUCUUGGAGAUCUCGAGCAGUGCCGCCACCAGAAAAGCAGAGUUGGGGCUGUAGAAUGAUGCGUUGGAGAAGGAGUACCCGAGAAGGAACUAUUUAUAGGACAAAACGGGCAAGGGCAAAUCUGACUCAUCUCUUCGCCGUAUCCGUGAAAUCCAAGGAUACUCAGGUGGAUAUGGUAACUGUUCGCACGGUAAUCAAGGGAUUGCGCAGGUGAUUUGACAGGAAGCGGUCAUGAUCUGGAGAUAUUUCACUAUGCGGGAUUUCCUGGUCGGUCCAUCGGCAGCUCCCUCUAACGGUAAUAUUGCCGAUGGGCGAAUAAAGUGGAGAUGUCCAGUUUGGGAGGUUGAGGAAUUCGAGGAAUCUGCGGAAGAAUCGGGCCAGAGUUGUUCGACUUCAACGGUCGGUUACCAAAUUGAGAGGAUUAGUUGCGGAAAGGCAUCAUUACUGCAGAGAAUUUCGGAGCAUUAAUGAUUUUAUACUCUGAAAUUUGGGGGCAUGUGUUGACACCGUUUUUGGACACGUACCCAGGGAUCGGUAGAGUAUAGAUCGGCAAGAUAGGGCAACAGUAACUGGUCUGCAGGGGAGUUGCCGAUGAAGGUGGUUGCCGAUGAAGAGACAGCUGAAUGUGACUAAGUCCAUGAUUCGUGACGCGUUCAUGCCGAUGGUCAGCGAUUAGCCUUUACCGAUGGCUAUGAUGAGGAGUCUGCCGAUGACUCGGAAGGAGAACGUGAAGGUUGCCGAUUGGUCCAUGGUGGUGUCCCGGUUUGUCACGAAAGGAUAGUUUUGUGUUUUCCUUAGUUAUUUAAAUCGUUUUGUAUACGGAUUCUGUUUAGUUUGGAAUUUGAGUCCUAGUCGUGUCUGAUUGUAGCUUUUUGAGCAGGGUAUAAAUGUAGAUCCCAGGGCCUUGUAAUGAGACAUCUAUCAAUCAAUCAAACACAAGUUUUUUCUCAUAUUCCAGCAUCUACUUUUUCGACGACUUCGUCAUAUUUUCCUUUUUACUACGAGUUCUUAGGAGUUCGUCGACUUAAGCUCGGCCUAUUCUCAAGUUCCGCGUGAAUACCUCUUGGUCGUGACAUCCGGGCGCAUCGCUGUUGUCGGGACCAAAGUAUUCGAGUUAUCACCUUUGCCGAUAGUAAGGUCAAAUCGGCUGGCACGCCUUAACGUUUUAAUCGGGUAUUAGCCCUUUGUGUUUGCAGAUCCGCUUUUGCAUCAACAAUUAACUUGGCAAAUAGAGAGAAAUAACUCUCAUAUAUUCCAAGCCCCUCCGCGCUUGGCAUCGCAUCCCUCGCGCAAAAUCUAUCGCCCCCGCAUGUGGUCGCGUGACUACUCCGUGCUCCCCCACCAGAUUUUCUUUUUUACCAAGUAAUUAAUGUCAAACUAUUAGAGAAUGCCUCUUUUCACUAUUGCCAUAUUUAUCUGGGACUUAUCAAACUCCCUCAUUUGCCAAACGAACUAUGCAAAACAGUUGGGAUGCUCUUCCUAAAGAGAUAGAGUCAGGCACCUCAAGGUUGCUGCACGCAUGGCCGAAAAACAGAACUUGCGUAGAGCACGUGCUUCUGGAUAAGGAAUUGGCCCACACAGCAGAGACAAAAGGCGAAAGGAAAGCCCAUGGCAGCGAACAUCACAUGCAAUGGGAAAUUCCGUGUCUUACCCUUGCCCAGUCCCCAGUCUGGCUCUUCCUCCUCGAUCCUCACCCUCCAAAUCCACCGGCACCAGGACCUCGGGGCGGCAUGGGAAGAGCAGUUGGGGAAGCAGCAGUUGACGUGGUGUCUCGGGCCUCGGGGCAGCGCUGUGACAGGUGAAGCGGUGUUGUGACGGGCGGCACCACAACAGACAACGUGGCCAUGGCUUCCGGCUCCAUGAUAGAUGGCGCUAAGGCGGAGGGCACGGGCCGCUUCUAGCUCCACUACUGAUGGUAUCGCGGCGAAGUGCGCGGGCCGCUACUGGCUCCACAGCAGGUGCACUAUGCCACAACUAGAGACUCCAAAUCGGUAAGCCGCCAUAGUGACCGAUCUUCAGUCACUAUAAUAUUAUAGUGACCGAUAUACCAAUUGCAGUAAGUGGUGUCUCUUAUUGGAACAAACAAUGAAAAUAUUAUUGGUGCUAGAAACCAUUAAAUCUUGUGGCUGCUUGCUCCGUACUUGAAGCUGCUGCAAUAGGAAUCCAUAGCGCCACGAGGACAGCGGAGUAGAUAGGCUUACUAGUUGAAGAGGAAAAAAAUUUUGGUGUCACAUCAGAUGUUUCGUAAGAUGUCGGAAGGGGUGUUUUGAUACUAAUAAAAAAACUAAUUACAUAACCCAGCUGGAAACUGCGAGACGAAUUUAUUAAGCAUAAUUAAUUUAUCAUUUGCACAUGUAGGUUAUUGUAGCACUUAAGGCUAAUCAUAGACUAACUAGGCUUAAAAGUUCCGUCUCAUGAUUUCCAACUAAAGUGUGUAAUUAUUUUAUUUUUUAUCUAUAUUUAAUACUCCAUGCAUAUAUCCAAACAUUUGAUGUUAUGGUAAUUUUUUUUAGGUUCAGAACUGAACAAGGCCUAGGUGGAGCGAAUCCAUGUGCAGCGGCGCGGUGGCCCUAACAAUUAUGCAUUGGGGAUGGCUGCUCUCUGGGCGACGAUGGCGGCUGUGGUGGUGACGAUGGCUGCAGAGUUAGUGCGGACGAUAGUGGCCACGAGGAUGGCCAUGGCAUUGGUGGGGAUAGCAGUUGCAGUGGUGAGCACCCUCAGCGACCGAACAGUGGUGGAGGUCGGGACUCAGAAUCGAGAUUCCAUGAGUUCUUUUUCUCCUUGAGAAACUUGAGCCUGUGGCGUCAGCUGUUGGGGUGGCCAGUGGGUGUGCUUAAGAUAGGGUUUUGGGUGUUAUGUCUCAUGAGCGGGCCACAAAGAGUAGUAUGUGCGCACGUGGAUUGUAAUAGAACCGUCUAAAUUAUAAGAGAUUAAGUCUAAUAGUGACCACUUUCGUAGUCAAACCAUCGAACUUAAGCCCAUAUAAUCCCGAUAGUCCGUGAAAUCUCAAAG